rnacentral:lncRNA from 1 species
UCUGAUUCCUUCUCAUGAUUUGCAUCUUAGUCCAAAUGUUACUUCUUCAGAGAGGAAUCUUUUGACUGCAUUAUCUACAAAGAUAUGCUCACCUACCUAGCACUGCUGUGUUUUUCUCUGUAAUAGGUGUCAGCACAUUAAGGCCUCAGGUGAACCACAGCCCAACAGUUGGUUUUCUAAAUAAAAAGUUUCAUUGGAAUACAGCCACACUAUUCAUUUGUUUAGUAUUGUCUAUGGCUGCUUUCACUCUUGAAGUGGCAGAGUUGGUAGU